rnacentral:rRNA from 1 species
GACGAACGCUGGCGGCGUGCUUAACACAUGCAAGUCGAACGGAAAGGCCCUGCUUUUGUGGGGUGCUCGAGUGGCGAACGGGUGAGUAACACGUGAGUAACCUGCCCUUGACUUUGGGAUAACUUCAGGAAACUGGGGCUAUACCGGAUAGGAGCUCCUGCUGCAUGGUGGGGGUUGGAAAGUUUCGGCGGUUGGGGAUGGACUCGCGGCUUAUCAGCUUGUUGGUGGGGUAGUGGCUUACCAAGGCUUUGACGGGUAGCCGGCCUGAGAGGGUGACCGGCCACAUUGGGACUGAGAUACGGCCCGGACUCCUACGGGAGGCAGCAGUGGGGAAUAUUGCACAAUGGGCGGAAGCCUGAUGCAGCAACGCCGCGUGCGGGAUGACGGCCUUCGGGUUGUAAACCGCUUUCGCCUGUGACGAAGCGUGAGUGACGGUAAUGGGUAAAGAAGCACCGGCUAACUACGUG